AUGACCCUCCUGGUGUCCCUGUCCUCCAGGAUGUCCUUGUACAUCUCUGUGUUACUCUCGCUGUGGCCGCCCUCAGUGUCUGGGAACCGAGGCCAGCAGGUCACCAUCUCCUGCACCAAUAUUCCUGGUUCCUACGUGUCCUGGUACCAACAGCUCCCAGGCUCAGCCCCCAGACUCCUCAUCUACUAUAACGGCAACCGACCCUCGGGGAUCCCGAAUCGAUUCUCAGGUUCCAAGUCUGGCAGCUCGGGCACCCUGACCAUCAGCGGGCUGCAGCCUGAGGACGAGGCUGAUUAUUACUGUCAGUCCUACGACAGCAGCCUUAAUGCUCACACGGUGCUCCGGGCCCGCGGGGAA